rnacentral:rRNA from 1 species
AGAGCGAACGCUGGCGGCAGGCCUAACACAUGCAAGUCGAGCGCCCGUAGCAAUACGGGAGCGGCAGACGGGAUAGUAACACGUGGGAACGCGCCCUUCGGUUCGGAAUAACUCAGGGAAACUUGAGCUAAUACCGGAUACGCCCUUACGGGGAAAGAUUUAUUGCCGAAGGAACGGCCCGCGUCCGAUUAGCUAGUUGGUGAGGUAAUGGCUCACCAAGGCGACGAUCGGUAGCUGGUCUGAGAGGAUGACCAGCAUCACUGGGACUGAGACACGGCCCAGACUCCUACGGGAGGCAGCAGUGGGGAAUAUUGGACAAUGGCGCAAGCCUGAUCCAGCCAUGCCGCGUGGAUGAUGAAGGCCUUAGGAUUGUAAAGUCCUUUUAACGGGGAAGAUAAUGACGGUACCCGUAGAAUAAGCCCGGCUAACUUCGUGCCAGCAGCCGC